rnacentral:lncRNA from 1 species
UGAGUACAGCUGAUUUAUUCAUAAAUCAAGUUAUAUUUUCAACUCAAUGAAUGAUCAUUUCAUAAUGUUAACCUUUGAUCAAAGUAUAACAAAUACCCCCCCUCCCCCCCCACAGAAGACUAUAAAUUGUAAUUUCAGUAAGCUGGGUGACUAUACCAUUUGCAGGUAUAUAUCUUGUAUUUUUUAACUUGCUCUUAUUUAUUAUUUUCCUUUAUUUUUUACUCAAUUUUUUUUUAUUUCUUUUCUUUACAAUGUUUUUUUAUUUUGUUUAUUAUUUUAUUGGCAAAUAUACAUGAAGAUAUAGAAAUCAUAGCAGAAGUAUUACUAUUAACAUCAUGUUUGAAUCAGAGACCAGACCAUUACUACAUAACACACAUUGUGUUAACUUUUCUUUACUUAUUGCCAGUUGUGUGGGACUUUUUCUGUCAUUUUAUAUAUAAAUUAUGUUUCAAACUAUUUGUGUCAUUUAUACUCUAAAUGAAAAAUAAUCUUAUUCAGAUUGUCUCAUACAACUGCCAAGGACUUAAUUCAAUUGAAAAGCGAAGAGAUGUUUUAGACUAUCUAAGAGCAAAAGAUUGUAGCAUGUAUUGUCUUCAAGAUACACACUUUUCUGAAAAAGAUGAACAAUUUGUUAAGAAUCAAUGGGGUGGAGAAUGUGUCUUUAGUUCCUUUUCUUCAAAUCAAAGAGGAGUGGCCAUUUUAUUUAAUAAUAAUUUUGAAUAUAAGAUUUUACAAAGUAAAAAAGAUCAAAAUGGUAAUCUAUUAGGAUUGAAUAUUAAAAUUGAAGAUAGCAAUAUUACUUUAAUUACAUUAUAUGGUCCAAACAGUGACAGCCCUGAUUUUUAUGAUAAAGUUAGUGAAAUAAUUGAAGAAUUUGAUAAUCAUACCGUCAUUGUGACAGGAGAUUAUAACUUAGUGCAAAAUCAAGACCUUGAUACUUUUAAUUACUUAAAUAUAAAUAAUCCAAAAGCCAAGGAAAAAGUUUUAGAUAUAAAGGAAAUUUACAACUUAACUGAUCCCUUUAGAGAACUAUAUCCAGAAAGUAAAAGAUAUACUUGGAGGAAACCAAACCCUAUAAAACAGGCCAGACUAGAUUUUUUUUUAGUUUCACAGAGCUUUUAUCCAAAUGUACAUGACUUAAAGAUACAAAAUAGUUAUAGAUCAGAUCAC